GAUGAAGAACGUAGCGAAAUGCGAUAAGUAAUGUGAAUUGCAGAAUUCAGUGAAUCAUCGAAUCUUUGAACGCACAUUGCGCCCGCCAGUAUUCUGGCGGGCAUGCCUGUUCGAGCGUCAUUUCAACCAUCAAGCCCCCGGGCUUGUGUUGGGGACCUGCGGCUGCCGCAGGCCCUGAAAAGCAGUGGCGGGCUCGCUGUCACACCGAGCGUAGUAGAUUUUAUCUCGCUCUGGGCGUGCUGCGGGUUCCGGCCGUUAAACCACCCUUUUAACCCAUGGUUGACCUCGGAUCAGGUAGGAAGACCCGCUGAACUUAAGCAUAUCAAUAAGCGGAGGA
rnacentral:misc_RNA from 1 species